AGCAAUUUUUUCUUCUUUAUUUUUGUUAAAUAAGAUUCCAGAAAGUAUAGUGCAAACACUCAGUAGAAAAGUUGCAAUUAAGAAAUGUACAUUCACAUUUAACAUUUCAGUCCAUUCACUGGUUUUUGCUUUUUAAAUAAAAAUAGGACAAAUUAUUCAAUUACUUGUCUCAAUUUAACAAUCUUGGAAAAGACUGGAAGGUGCUCUACAGUGUUCAGUUGACGUAAAAAUAGACCCGUAUUGAUUAUACAAAUCUAUCACGAGAGGUUCCCCAGUGAUAUUGAGUUGGUGUCCUUCUGGAACAGACAUCUGGUUUCCGCGUCUAAAGAAGCACUCUCAGCAAGGUCUACUGAUGGGAGAACGUGUCACCCAGGCCCACUCUGUGCUCCCAGGCGGGACACGGAGGGACACAGGGGUUCACACAAACCCUUCUCAGACAAUCAAGAAAGUCCAAGCGGGGGCUUUGGGUUUACCUUAAAUGAGAGAUGGUUGUAAUUGUUACAUUAUCUCUGCUUGUGCAAGGCGGUGUGCAAUCAGUGUGAAGGAGAGAUGGAGGAAGGGGGCGGGGCUCUGCAGGUGUGCAGGAGAUGCAAGGCUCAGGGUCCAGGAUCCGCCGUGGCGGGACGCUCUGCGGCCAGCCGGCAGACGACCCGUGGUGGCCUGGGCCUGUCCCUUUGCACAUGCUGCAUGUGUUGGAAUCCAAACGAAGUUUCACACACUUGGGAAUCUCACAGCAUGCGAUGCUGAGUGCGUGUGGCUUGCGGGGCCGCAGUUUCCAACGGGGAGAAAGGCAGGACUGCAAGCCUCUCUGGGGCUGAUGCCCGGGGAGCGCCCUACGGGCAGGUGCAAGAGGCCGUGGAGGCUUCCUCGGGACUCCCGGAACGUGGGAGUGGUCCCCUGAGACUGAGAUCUGCCCUGGGUGUCCUCCUGUCCCCAGGAAGGGACACUACACCACGUGAUGAGGACAUUGGCCGGCUCUGGCCAGGAGUUGGGGGCUGGCUUGGCUCCUUGUGAGGGGAGAGGCGUGUGCAGCUUGGGGGUUCCAGGGGGCCUGGCUCUCCCCCUGGCUGAUGUCAGAGAGGCCUUACAGGAAGAGACAGGACGACUGUGCUCCUGGCCGAGGGAGAGGCUGUUUACUAAGACACGAUGGCAGGUGGUACUGCGGACAUGGCUUCAGGACAGAAAGUGUAACAAGACAGGGCGAGGUGGGCUCCUUUGGGCCCCCACUGUGUCUCUGCUGGGGAUCAGCUGUUCAAGCAGAGGCAGGGCUCAGCCGCGAGCACAUGCCCUAUUCUCAUCUCGCCACGUGAGGCCUGGGUGAGGAUGACCUUGUGCCUGGGCACAUCCCUGGAUGGGCUGUGGGGCAAGCCCCCGGCCUGAGGACCCACCUGGCUGCUCAGAACCAACCUGCCAGGCACCCCCGCCACUUGUGCGUGCACGGGCUAAGGGCUCCAUCAACACCAACACUUCACUGAGUUCAUGGCUAGCUACGAGGCGCCCAAGAGAACGGACACCCAGGGGCUUGGGAUGGAUGGGACCCGGAUGCCUCCUGGUCCUGCGCUCAGUGCUGUGCAACUUUGUCCAAGUCUGUCACCUCUCUGAGCCUCUGAUUCCUCACGGACAACGUGGGGCGUGUAAGCAGGCCUCCCUCUGCAGACUGUCUGGAGGAGAGCGGGCUCGAGGCCGGGAAGGCGCUCCUUGCGGUCACAGGGAAAGCCCAUCAGAGUCAUCUGCUCACCAAAGCCCCCACGGGCCU
rnacentral:lncRNA from 1 species